rnacentral:rRNA from 1 species
UUGAAAGGGAAACGAUUGAAGUCAGUCGUACCGGCGGGUAAUCAGCCUUUUGGGUGUGAUUAUGUGGAGCGUGAGGAGCUAAUCGCCUUCAUCUUUGCAUAUUCGUGCACUUUGGGUGUACUUGCUCGUGUGGUAGGUUAACAUCAAUUUUGAUCAUCAUAAAAUGAUUGAAGGAAUGUAGCUUCGAUCUCGUAUUGAAGUGUUAUAGCCUUUGGUAGAUGUGAUGAUCGGGAUUGAGGAUUGCAACGGAUACCCUUCGGGGCUACCCGUCUGAUCUCUGAAAGUUGCUCUGGUGCUGAAAGCUUGCUUAUGGUAUCAAAGUUGACGUUCAAUAGGUUAGAACGGGAUAAAUUCGUUAAGGAAUGUUGACGUA